UUCCUUCUUCUAUAAUACGUAACAACCAGGCCACGCCCCAGUGCUUACAAAGGUCGGCAUAUUCUUCCCAGAUCUCUUACACAACCUGUUCAGUACUUGUAGACUGUAGAUCUUACUCUCCCAGACAUGUGGCACCCAUCUAGCUACCCCUCAGAUCUUAAGACUAUCAAAAUCAAAAUAGCCAAACAACUUGGUACAUUGCAUUUUCCACUAAUUCCAUGCUCUCCACUCGCUCUUCUCAAUUUCCAAUUACAAAAUUCAAAUAGAAAAUAACAAGGA
rnacentral:misc_RNA from 1 species